UCCAACCGUUAUGAGCAUCUACUGUCUGCCUCCGCCUAGUGUGUGUGUGUGUGUGUGUUUUUCUUUUCUUUACCGUGGGGGCAGUCCAUCAUCGGUCUCCCAAGUCACGAUAGGAAGUUCCCAAGACUUGCAAACUUGUCGAAUAUGCCUUUGUAGCGCGCUCAGUUUCGGAAUGAGCGUCUGGCCCAAUUAGGCUACAUGACGCAACCUUAGACCUACAUGUAACUAUCCAGGUUAGUUUACUGUCAGAAAAAAACUGAAAGCGACGGGUGCCCUCCAUGAAGCAACAGUAACGCCAAAAGAAGGCUGAGGGCAGCGAAGUUAAUAGCCUUUAUUAGGCUAGUUUAACCGAUCAAGACCACUUCCACAUUGCAAGAUGUCCGUUAAACUGACCUUCGUGAAGUUGGCAAGCAGAGGCAUCACCGUGCUUUGCGCGAGCGCGUCCACCCCUGCCCUGGCGGCAAUCGCAGUGGUGGCUGUGUGCGGGCUACUAUAUUUUACCAAGACCUCUACAACCCCCGCAUAUUGACCGACUAGGACAAACCAGAUAGCCAACUAAGAGAGAAAAAAGCCUGCUACUGUAGGCCUACUCCCUGGAUGGUGGUGGAUUUCAGGAUUCAAAAAUGGAUUCCACUGCCUGCUUUACAAAGACUUGACCAAAAGAUGGCGCUAUUUGUCUUAUCUGUCACUGGCCUUUUGCAAAUGGUGCCAAAGGUUCAGUCCGUGAUUGUUAUCCACACUUUUCUCUUGAAUUCAGGGAAUUGAUCCUCAUUGUCACAUAGAUGUCAGCGUUGGCAUCCAAAAAAAUGCAGGUGUAUUCAGUCCUGGCCCUGUGUAUGGAGCGACCUCUAAACAAUAGCCAAUCAACAAGGUGCUCCAUUGGCAUGUAGAGUGAUGUAAUUUGAUAUGCUGUUGAGCUCAAACAUCAGCAAUCUUUCUCAAAACCAAAUCACGGACUGUACCUUUAAUGUAGGCCUAAGCUUAUUGGCUACAUGCUAUUCCACCUAUCAGGUUUUCCUGUCUUGAUUUGAUUUGUGCACACUCAUGUUAUAGUAUGUCAUGAGUAUUCACUCGUUGGUUUUUCCUCAUUCGUAAAAUGUGCCUCAAGUUAUUUGUGUAUGGCCAUUUCUCUUUGCUCUGCGAGGACCUUUUUGGUUUUGUCUGUUUUUGUUUAAAUUCUUUGGUUGUGUGUACCCAAGACCCAACCUCAGCAGAGAUGCAGGGUGACCUCCCUGGAAAUGUCUGGACCAGAACCAUCUGCUACGGUCCUGGUACUCAUCCCUGUUCUUUUACCCUUCAGGUCUCUAGGGAGAUGUUUAUGGACCUCGGUCACAUCAUGCACACUGUACCUAGUUCUGCUGUCCUGUAUGGGUGGUCUUUGAUAACUCAGUGCUAUCAGCCUCACAGUUAGUAUUUAACAGGAUACAUCUGGUGUACCUCUGUAAUGUCAAACUGCAUGGGACCUGAUGCUUAUGUUUUAGUCUACAAUAGUUAGUUUGAUCUGAGAGACAAAACAACUUCUCCGUUUUUAGGGAUUAAGAUCCUUUUGGAGAAAAACCUAAUACAUGGUCUCAAAGGUGAGAAGAUGAUGCGGGUUGCACAGAUGCACACUUGUUUUUUUUUUUAAAUCAGACAGCGAUGACAGUGUCAGCUGUAACCCCUUAUAGUCAGGGGGUCUAUGUGGUUUCUGUGGGUUUGAAAUGUUAAUUUUUGGAGAGUGGUUGGACUGUCUUUAGGGGUCACUGAAC